UUCCCAUCACUACUAUCAAUGUGAGCUCCGGGAGAAAUGCUUACUGCGUCCACACGGUCGUGAUGAGGGAGCACGAAUAGACCAAAAUGAAAAAUCAAACGAGGAGGUCAAAAAGUUCCUGCAGAGCUAAGACACUCCCGAACCUCUGUCCCCUCGCUCUGCCCUUUACGGAGGCGAACUUGAGGCUGUGGUACAGCGCCUUGCCUGGAGAAAAUGUGUAGGCCUGGUGUAUCUGCCGCGAAGGCUCUUUUCCCCCAUUCUACCGUACAAAACAUCUUGAGAAGGAAGCAACAGAAGAGCUGCUGAGGAGAUGGUUGUUACAUUCUGGAGGGACUAUCUCCAAGCUACAGAAGAAGAAGAAGGACAUUCCAAGUUAGAGAAGCUAUUGGCCUUUGCAACUGGAGCAACUGCGGUGCCACCUAUUGGCUUUUCCCCAGCACCCUUGAUUGAGUUCAUUCAUAGAGGAGAUGACGACUUCUCUUCUACACCAAUUUUCCCUCUUGCCAACACGUGUGUUAACUACAUUAGGCUGCCACUGCAUGUUUCAUACCAGUUGUUCAAGGAGAUGUUUGAUUUUGCCUUAGGUAACACUUACGUCUUUGGCAGGGUGUGAACACAUUAUGCUGUAUGAGUUUGUGGUUUUAUCUUUUGUAUUGGUCUCUCUGCUGAUUCAAAGUGAGCAUUGAAUAUUAACUUUUUAAGGUUUUAAUAUUUCCAAAUUUAGCUGUGUCAGUCAAAUUGAUGUUUUAAGACAUCAAUUUGACAAGAAGUGAUUGUUCUUCAGGAUUAAAAUCCAAUUGUUUAACAGCACUUCAGAAGUUUAUUUACACUGUUGAGUAUGAACAUAUAAUCUUUGUCUCACUUUAGUCUUUUCAUGUGCAUGUGCAUCUGUCUUUGAUAUGGUUGUCUUUCUGUCUGUUUAUUCUUCUGCCUGUCUCAGUUUCUGUUUGAUUGACAACAGAGCUGUCAUUUUAUCCUAUUGAUUGAUUGAUAAUACUUUAUUCAUCCCGAGGGAAAUUGAGUUAAGGCUGCCAGCCGUGCCAGC